GACGAACGCUGGCGGCGUGCCUAAUACAUGCCAGUUGAGCGCUGAAGGUUGGUACUUGUACCAACUGGAUGAGCAGCGAACGGGUGAGUAACGCGUGGGGAAUCUGCCUUUGAGCGGGGGACAACAUUUGGAAACGAAUGCUAAUACCGCAUAAAAACUUUAAACACAAGUUUUAAGUUUGAAAGAUGCAAUUGCAUCACUCAAAGAUGAUCCCGCGUUGUAUUAGCUAGUUGGUGAGGUAAAGGCUCACCAAGGCGAUGAUACAUAGCCGACCUGAGAGGGUGAUCGGCCACACUGGGACUGAGACACGGCACAAACUCCUACGGGAGGCAGCAGUAGGGAAUCGUCGGCAAUGGACGAAAGUCUGACCGAGCAACGCCGCGUGAGUGAAGAAGGUUGUCGGAUCGUAAAACUCUGUUGGUAGAGAAGAACGUGGGUGAGAGUGGAAAGCUCAUCAAGUGACGGUAACUACCCAGAAAGGGACGGCUAACUACGUG
rnacentral:rRNA from 1 species